rfam:Asian citrus Psyllid, Diaphorina citri - Florida Strain, whole genome shotgun sequence.
GCCUAGUUAGCUUAGUUAAUAGUGCGUCUGCCUUGUAAGCGCUAGGCCGCGGGUUCGAUUCCCGCCCGGGGCG